rnacentral:rRNA from 1 species
AUGGCCUUUAUGUCUAGGGCUACACACGUACUACAAUGGCCGGUACAAAGGGCAGCCACUCAGCGAUGAGGCGCUAAUCCCAUAAAGCCGGUCUCAGUCCGGAUCGCAGUCUGCAACUCGACUGCGUGAAGUUGGAAUCGCUAGUAAUCGCGGAUCAGCAUGCCGCGGUGAAUACGUUCCCGGGCCUU